rnacentral:rRNA from 1 species
UACGAAGGGUGCAAGCGUUAUCCGGAUUCAUUGGGUUUAAAGGGCGCGUAGGUGGCCUGAUAAGUCAGUGGUGAAAUCUCUGGGCUCAACCCAGAAAUUGCCAUUGAUACUGUCAGGCUUGAGUAUAGUUGCCGUUGGCGGAAUAUGACAUGUAGUGGUGAAAUACAUAGAGAUGUCAUAGAACACCGAUUGCGAAGGCAGCUAACGAAACUAUAACUGACACUGAGGCUCGAAAGUGCGGGGAUCAAACAGG